AUGGCCACCAUCUUGACGACCAUCUUUGCCGGCACGCUACUGUCGGCGAUGGCCGAGAUACAGGACACCUGCUGGUCGUGGCGGGGCCGGAGCAUGACCACGCUGCUCCAGUUGCUCCUCUGCUUCCCGCCGGUGACCCGAUUGUCGCGGCCCAUCUUCUUAUUGUCCUACGCGCCCUACUACCUCUCACGGUACCUCCACACGGACAGCAGCGUGUUCGCAGUGCUGCGGCACCGGCGCAGGGCGGCCACCCGGGUGUUCGCGCACGCGACGUCCAUUGCCAUGGCGUCGUCAGGGGAGUGUUUGGUGGAGGCCGAUUUCCGAGCGGCACACUGGAGCUUGGCGGGGCGACAUACUGCAUAG
rnacentral:rRNA from 1 species